rnacentral:rRNA from 1 species
GCAAUGGGCGAAAGCCUGACGCAGCAAUGCCGCGUGCGGGACGAAGGCCYUAKGGUCGUAAASCGCUUUCAGURGGGACGAAAAUSACGGUACCUGCAGAAGAAGCUCCGGCCAAYUACGUGCCWGCAGCCGCSGKGAUACGUAGGGAGCAAGCGUUGUCCGGAAUUACUGGGCGUAAAGGGCUCGUAGGUGGUUGAGUAAGUCRGAUGUGAAAUCUCAGGGCCCAACCCUGAGCCUGCAUUUGAUACUGCUCUGACUAGAGUCCGGUAGGGGAGUGCGGAACUCCUGGUGUAGCGGUGAAAUGCGCAGAUAUCAGGAAGAACACCGACAGCGAAGGCAGCACUCUGGGCCGGUACUGACACUGAGGAGCGAAAGCAUGGGUAGCAAACAGGAUUAGAUACCCUGGUAGUCCAUGCCGUAAACGUUGGGCACUAGGUGUGGGGAGAACUCAACUCUCUCCGCGCCGUAGCUAACGCAUUAAGU